rnacentral:rRNA from 1 species
UACCAGCUCUCCGAGUGGUAGGGAUGAUUAUUGGGCUUAAAGCGUCCGUAGCCGGCUUAGCAAGUUUCCUGUUAAAUUCAGCGACCUAAUCGUUGAGCCGCGGGAAAUACUACUAGGCUAGGAGGCGGGAGAGGUCGACGGUACUUCUGGGGGAGGGGUGAAAUCCUAUAAUCCCGGGAGGACCACCAGUGGCGAAGGCUGUCGACUAGAACGCGCUCGACGGUGAGGGACGAAAGCUGGGGGAGCGAACCGGAUUAGAUACCCGGGUAGUCCCAGCUGUAAACGAUGCGGGCUAGGUGUUGGGGUGGCUACGUGCCACUUCAGUGCCGCAGGGAAGCCAUUAAGCCCGCCGCCUGGGGAUACGGCCGCAAGGCUGAAACUUAAGGAAUUGGCGGGGAGCACCACAAGGGGUGAAGCUUGCGGUUU